rnacentral:rRNA from 1 species
UCGAGCGAUCUGCCUUGAAGAUCGGAGUGCUUGCACUCUGUGAAACAAGAUACAGGCUAGCGGCGGACGGGUGAGUAACACGUGGGUAACCUGCCCAAGAGAUCGGGAUAACACCUGGAAACAGAUGCUAAUACCGGAUAACAACAGAUGAUGCCUAUCAACUGUUUAAAAGAUGGUUCUGCUAUCACUCUUGGAUGGACCUGCGGUGCAUUAGCUAGUUGGUAGGGUAACGGCCUACCAAGGCGAUGAUGCAUAGCCGAGUUGAGAGACUGAUCGGCCACAUUGGGACUGAGACACGGCCCAAACUCCUACGGGAGGCAGCAGUAGGGAAUCUUCCACAAUGGACGCAAGUCUGAUGGAGCAACGCCGCGUGAGUGAAGAAGGGUUUCGGCUCGUAAAGCUCUGUUGUUGGUGAAGAAGGACAGGGGUAGUAACUGACCUUUGUUUGACGGUAAUCAAUUAGAAAGUCACGGCUAACUACGUGCCAGCAGCCGCGGUAAUACGUAGGUGGCAAGCGUUGUCCGGAUUUAUUGGGCGUAAAGCGAGUGCAGGCGGCUCGAUAAGUCUGAUGUGAAAGCCUUCGGCUCAACCGGAGAAUUGCAUCAGAAACUGUCGAGCUUGAGUACAGAAGAGGAGAGUGGAACUCCAUGUGUAGCGGUGAAAUGCGUAGAUAUAUGGAAGAACACCGGUGGCGAAGGCGGCUCUCUGGUCUGUUACUGACGCUGAGGCUCGAAAGCAUGGGUAGCGAACAGGAUUAGAUACCCUGGUAGUCCAUGCCGUAAACGAUGAGUGCUAAGUGUUGGGAGGUUUCCGCCUCUCAGUGCUGCAGCUAACGCA